GACCACUUGACCACCCCCUCCAUUCUUCGGACUUCUUCGAUUGGCGGUCCAGCAGGUAUCAGGCCGAGUUCUUUGAGCGACGACAGCAGUUGCGCAGCGGCAGAAAGUGACUGGUCACACACCAGAGACACAAAACGGAAGACUUCGAAACGACAUCAUCAAGUGCGCAGCGCGACACAAGACCAGCGACAGACAGAUUAGCAAGCGUCGACAAAACGACUCCCGGCGUAUUAUUCUUGCUCUCGACUUUGCCACUGUCUACAUUCGACCCAAAACACACAUCCACGGACCCACAUCAGCUCCGUGAUCAACGACAGUAUCUAAGGCCCCCCC
rnacentral:misc_RNA from 1 species